rnacentral:rRNA from 1 species
CCUACGGGUGGCUGCAGUGGGGGAUAUUGCACAAUGGGGGGAACCCUGAUGCAGCGACGCCGCGUGGGUGAAGAAGCGCCUCGGCGCGUAAAGCUCUAUCAGCAGGGAAGAAAGAAAUGACGGUACCUGACUAAGAAGCCCCGGCUAACUACGUGCCAGCAGCCGCGGUAAUACGUAGGGGGCAAGCGUUAUCCGGAUUUACUGGGUGUAAAGGGAGCGUAGACGGCGAGGCAAGUCUGAAGUGAAAGGCGGGGGCCCAACCCCCGGACUGCUUUGGAAACGGGAUGGCGGGAGUGCAGGAGAGGUAAGUAGAAUUCCUAGUGUAGCGGUGAAAUGCGUAGAUAUUAGGAGGAACACCGGUGGCGAAGGCGGCUUACUGGACUGUAACUGACGUUGAGGCUCGAAAGCGUGGGGAGCAAACAGGAUUAGAUACCCUAGUAGUC